GACGAACCCUGGCGGCGUGCUUAACACAUGCAAGUCGAACGGAAAGGCCCUGCUUUUGUGGGGUGCUCGAGUGGCGAACGGGUGAGUAACACGUGAGUAACCUGCCCUUGACUUUGGGAUAACUUCAGGAAACUGGGGCUAAUACCGGAUAGGAGCUCCUGCUGCAUGGUGGGGGUUGGAAAGUUUCGGCGGUUGGGGAUGGACUCGCGGCUUAUCAGCUUGUUGGUGGGGUAGUGGCUUACCAAGGCUUUGACGGGUAGCCGGCCUGAGAGGGUGACCGGCCACAUUGGGACUGAGAUACGGACCAGACUCCUACGGGAGGCAGCAGUGGGGAAUAUUGCACAAUGGGCGGAAGCCUGAUGCAGCAACGCCGCGUGCGGGAUGACGGCCUUCGGGUUGUAAACCGCUUUCGCCUGUGACGAAGCGUGAGUGACGGUAAUGGGUAAAGAAGCACCGGCUAACUACGUG
rnacentral:rRNA from 1 species